rnacentral:rRNA from 1 species
GAUGAACGCUGGCGGCGUGCUUAACACAUGCAAGUCGAACGGAAAGGCCAGUGCUUGCACUGGUGCUCGAGUGGCGAACGGGUGAGUAACACGUGGGUGAUCUGCCCUGCACUUUGGGAUAAGCCUGGGAAACUGGGUCUAAUACCGGAUAGGACCAUGCUUUGGAUGGUGUGGUGGAAAGUUUUUUCGGUGUGGGAUGAGCUUGCGGCCUAUCAGCUUGUUGGUGGGGUAAUGGCCUACCAAGGCGUCGACGGGUAGCCGGCCUGAGAGGGUGUACGGCCACAUUGGGACUGAGAUACGGCCCAGACUCCUACGGGAGGCAGCAGUGGGGAAUAUUGCACAAUGGGCGCAAGCCUGAUGCAGCGACGCCGCGUGGGGGAUGACGGCCUUCGGGUUGUAAACUCCUUUCGCAACUGACGAAGCUUUUUGUGACGGUAGGUUGAGAAGAAGCACCGGCUAACUACGUG